UACGUAGGGGGCAAGCGUUGUCCGGAAUUAUUGGGCGUAAAGCGCGCGCAGGCGGUCCUUUAAGUCUGAUGUGAAAGCCCACGGCUUAACCGUGGAGGGUCAUUGGAAACUGAGGGACUUGAGUACAGAAGAGGAGAGUGGAAUUCCACGUGUAGCGGUGAAAUGCGUAGAGAUGUGGAGGAACACCAGUGGCAAAGGCGACUCUCUGGUCUGUAACUGACGCUGAGGUGCGAAAGCGUGGGUAGCAAACAGGAUUAGAUACCCUGGUA
rnacentral:rRNA from 1 species